CAUCGAUCAUUAAGGAAACUCAGUCGAAUGGGAAAGUGAUUUGACGACAACAGAAAAAUCGUUAUUGUCUGGAUUGGUAACAGUUUGUUUUUGAAUUCACUUACAGUACACCGAGUCUUUUGUGUCGACUCGUCUCAGAUCUACGUGAGUUGAAAAAUAAUAUUACGUGUCACGACUGGAAUAAUAGUGCACAGUGUAAAUUAAGAGGCUUACUGACGAAAUGUUCUCAAACGGAAGCAUCGUAUCCAAAAUGAAUAGAUAAGAAUAAAUAUUAACUAACGAAAAAAAAACCCGAUUCUUUUAAGAAAUUUUACAAUUGUGCUUACCUGUUGACGAAAUGUUUGAAGCAGACUACAUAAAUGUCAUCACGAUACCGUAUGAAUGCAUUACCCAAAACGGAAAGGAUUGACGCGAUGUGUGUGAACUUUACCAAGUCAAAUAGACAUGGGUUCAACUGUAGUGCAUUUACCUUACGCAGAAUUUUAACCCGGUGCAAGUCCCUCGAGUAUCAAAGAUUUCAUAUCUGACAGACUACCUGAAAAGUUCGGGGAAAAGAGAAACUACUUCAAGACAGCCAUUUUUUUUUUUUUACGAUCCUAUGUACAGUCACAUGUAUUCUCCAUUGUCCUACAAUGCUUUUCCAUGGUCACACGAUGAACAAUACAAUUUGAAAUAAUACAGAAA